GACCUGGUGGUGAAUGGUUCACACCCGCUUUCCUUAACCAUUGCAACGUCGCAAAAUAAAGUGGGAGUACUUGGUUCAAUUCCGGGUCAGGUCA